UGCUCACUCAGUACAUCUGGUUACGUUGGUCCUUUUUAAAAACCCCAUGUAACAUAUUUGGAUGCAUUUCUAUUCAACUCUCAAAGACCGUGGUGGAGAAUCCAACAAUGCAGACCAUGGAUAUUGAUAAAGGCAAAUAUGUCAACAAGCCCAGAAAAAGGGAUGACGUUGGUGUUACAUUUUCAGCUAAUUUUCAGUGGUGGAAGAGACCCUCUGGAGUUGCUGCAGUGUGUCUGGGGCUGCUGUGUGUUCUCCUACUGGCUGGGAUCAUAGGCCUGUCUGUCUACUAUAACCGAGUCAUUGGUCAUUACUACUCUGCAGAGAGAUCCCAGGCGUCCAGUUAUAACACCCUGACUAAGGAGAAAGACCAGCUACAGACCAGUUAUAACACCCUGACUAAAGAGAGAGACCAGUUACAGACCAGU